GAUGAACGCUGGCGGCGUGCCUAAUACAUGCAAGUCGAGCGAACAGACGAGGAGCUUGCUCCUCUGACGUUAGCGGCGGACGGGUGGGUAACACGUGGAUAACCUACCUAUAAGACUGGGAUAACUUUGGGAAACCGGAGCUAAUACCGGAUAAUAUAUUGAACCGCAUGGUUCAAUAGUGAAAGACGGUUUUGCUGUCACUUAUAGAUGGAUCCGCGCCGCAUUAGCUAGUUGGUAAGGUAACGGCUUACCAAGGCAACGAUGCGUAGCCGACCUGAGAGGGUGAUCGGCCACACUGGAACUGAGACACGGUCCAGACUCCUACGGGAGGCAGCAGUAGGGAAUCUUCCGCAAUGGGCGAAAGCUUGACGGAGCAACGCCGCGUGAGUGAUGAAGGUCUUCGGAUCGUAAAACUCUGUUAUUAGGGAAGAACAAAUGUGUAAGUAACUAUGCACGUCUUGACGGUACCUAAUCAGAAAGCCACGGCUAACUACGUG
rnacentral:rRNA from 1 species